UCAAAAGCAGCAUUGUAUAAGCUUAGUUUGGGGUCUGGAGCUUGAGUAUCCUGGGUUUAAUUAAUGAUCCACACACUAGUGUGUAAAUGGGUUGUUUCUUUGAUCACUACAGUUGUGUUGGUCUGUGCUAAUGUGUUUAGAAAAAAGUUUUCUGACUGAUAAGCUGGACUUUAACAGGAAAAACCUGCAUUAGGUACCACAAUGUACCACUGGAACACAGGAGAGACUGAUUGAAACUGCUCUCAAAAUGUGGAUAUUAGUAGAUAUUCCAUUCAAAGUUAUUCAGAAUUCAGAAUCAGUGUCACAAUGAAGCAAAUACAUUUCUGGUUGGUUUAAUGUUUCUUAACAUAAAACCAAAUUUCAUAGAGAAAACGAAACCUUUCUAAUUGACUUCAAACUUUUGAGCUGUGGUGUAGAUUGCACUGUGAUUAUUGAUUAGAGCAAAUGAUACAGGAGCAUCAGUACAGGGAGAGACUGUUUAAAAGUUAUGAGCUGUCUUCCUUCAAAGUUAUUCAGAGUUUAGGAUCAGUGUCACAAUGAAGAUGGGUUUCUCACUCCAUUUGGAGAAAAGUGUAAUUUUGUUCUAAUCUUCAUGGGUCGUAGCGGGAUGUACAGUUUGUGGGAGUCUCUGUUUUCCAGAUGAUCCGUUGGGGCAGGUAGCUGUCACCUCGGUGCCUACCCAUUCCUGGUGUCAUCAAGGUCAGGAGUAUUUAGAAGGAGCUGAGAUCCUUGCUGCCCGCCAGAUUAUUCUACCUCCCUGUGCAUCACCUUCCCUCAGAGCGGUAAAACCAGCCUCCACCACGCUGGAGCCCGUCUUCUCAGCCACCUGCUCUCCUGCUUACGCCUGCAUGACCCUCGGACCUCCUCAGCGCAGACUCGCUCCGCCAGCCAAGCCCCCAACCAGUCAUCAAACCUGAGUUUCUGAAUUCUCCGUGCCUGCCAGAUUAUUUUCAACCCUGGC